rnacentral:rRNA from 1 species
CAGCAGCCGCGGUAAUACGAAGGGUGCAAGCGUUAAUCGGAAUUACUGGGCGUAAAGCGUGCGUAGGCGGUUUGUUAAGUCUGCUGUGAAAUCCCCGGGCUCAACCUGGGAAUGGCAGUGGAUACUGGCAAGCUAGAGUGUGUCAGAGGAUGGUGGGAUUCCCGGUGUAGCGGUGAAAUGCGUAGAGAUCGGGAGGAACAUCAGUGGCGAAGGCGGCCAUCUGGGACAACACUGACGCUGAGGCACGAAAGCGUGGGGAGCAAACAGGAUUAGAUACCCCCGUAGUCCCUGUCUCUUAUAC